CGGAUAGAAGUAUUAUUAGUAUGUUAGGUUUGGGGCUUAAAGGUUGUGUUUUAAAAAUGCGCUAUUCGU
rnacentral:tRNA from 1 species